UACGUAGGGUGCGAGCGUUAAUCGGAAUUACUGGGCGUAAAGCGCGCGUAGGCGGCUUUGCAAGUCGGGUGUGAAAUCCCCAGGCUUAACCUGGGAACUGCAUUCGAGACUGCGUUGCUAGAGUAUGGGAGAGGGAAGUGGAAUUUCCGGUGUAGCGGUGAAAUGCGUAGAUAUCGGAAGGAACAUCAGUGGCGAAAGCGACUUCCUGGACCAAUACUGACGCUCAUGUGCGAAAGCGUGGGGGAGCAAACAGG
rnacentral:rRNA from 1 species